rnacentral:rRNA from 1 species
CCUACGGGUGGCAGCAGUGAGGAAUAUUGGUCAAUGGACGCAAGUCUGAACCAGCCAUGCCGCGUGCAGGAAGACGGCUCUAUGAGUUGUAAACUGCGUGUGUACGAGGGUAAACGCAGAUACGCGGAUCUGUCUGAAAGUAUCGUACGAAUAAGGAUCGGCUAACUCCGUGCCAGCAGCCGCGGUAAUACGGAGGAGGCAAGCGUUAUCCGGAUUUAUUGGGUUUACAGGGUGCGUAGGCGGUCGGAUAAGUUAGCGGUGAAAUCCCGCGGCUCCACGUCGGAAUUGCCUCUGAUACUGUUCGGCUAGAGCGUAGUUGCGGUAGGCGGAAUGUAUGGUGUAGCCG